rnacentral:rRNA from 1 species
UACGGGGGGGGCAAGCGUUGUUCGGAAUUACUGGGCGUAAAGGGCUCGUAGGUGGCCAACUAAGUCAGACGUGAAAUCCCUCGGCUUAACCGGGGAACUGCAUCUGAUACUGGAUGGCUUGAGAUUGGGAGAGGGAUGCGGAAUUCCAGGUGUAGCGGUGAAAUGCGUAGAUAUCUGGAGGAACACCGGUGGCGAAGGCGGCUCACUGGCCCGGUACUGACGCUGAGGUGCGAAAGCGUGGGGAGCAAACAGG